UGUGAGACCUUCAUCCAACGGAUCGUCGGGUACGUACCUACCCGGAAGAGGGAGCAAUAA
rfam:Actinobacteria bacterium BACL4 MAG-120813-bin39 contig01226_1_120813-bin39, whole genome shotgun sequence.